CCCUACGGGAGGCAGCAGUGAGGAAUAUUGGUCAAUAGGCGCGAGCCUGAACCAGCCAAGUCGCGUGAGGGAGGACGGCCCUACGGGUUGUAAACCUCUUUUGCCGGGGAGCAACGGGCGUCACGUGUGGCGCCACUGAGAGUACCCGGAGAAAAAACAUCGGCUAACUCCGUGCCAGCAGCCGCGGUAAUACGGAGGAUGCGAGCGUUAUCCGGAUUUAUUGGGUUUAAAGGGUGCGUAGGCGGUAUUUUAAGUUAGUGGUAAAACGUCGGGGCUUCACCUUGAUUGGCCAUUAAAACUGGAGU
rnacentral:rRNA from 1 species